GACGUAGGGCGCGAGCGUUGUCCGGAUUUAUUGGGCGUAAAGAGCUCGUAGGCGGCUUGUUGCGUCGGCUGUGAAAACCCGUGGCUUAACUGCGGGCUUGCAGCUGAUACGGGCGGGCUGGAGUUCGGUAGGGGAGACUGGAAUUCCUGGAUGUAGCGGUGAAAUGACGCAGAUAUCAGGAGGAACACCGGUGGCGAAGGCGGUUCUCUGGGCAUUACCUGACGCUGAGGAGCGAAAGUGUGGGGAGCGAACAGG
rnacentral:rRNA from 1 species